CUCCUACUUACCAGCUGGACAGUUGGUGGCAGGACAUGGCUCAGAGAGGUGCAGACCAUCAAAGGCACCUGUGAAACAGCAGGAAUUCCCAAGGAGGAGGGUCUCCAUAAUUCCUCAGACUUACAGACAGUAGCUGUAGCAGCAGCUUCAUCAGAGGAGUUGUCUAGUGGCUCUUUUCUUCACUGGAGCUGCUGGACUUGUGGCAGCACUGCAGUCCUACAGUGGUUCCUCUUCUUCCAACUCCUCACCCUCCUGAGUUAUCAUUUUUAGAAAAUCCCUCUCAGCAUGAAGCAAUGAAUUAAUGAAGAUCCAUUAACACUGGUCCUGGUCACUGGUUAAUGAUGAACUCUCCUUUGAUUUGCUCCCGGGGAACAUUUCCUGAUGUGUCCCAUAUUUUCACUUUUUGUGAUUGUUUUUCUGUGUGUUAUUUUUUUUUUCUUUCUAAUGAGGUCAGAGAGGUGUCAUCAUAGUUAUAACAAUAACAAAGUCCACAGUGGUUGAGGAAUGUACCAGGACCAGAUCAUUAAUAUUCAGAAACAAAAGGAGGCUUUCU